rnacentral:rRNA from 1 species
ACUUCUACACCUAAAAAUUAUCUUAAUCCAACAUCGAGGUCGCAAUCUCUUUUAUCGAUAUGUUCUCUCUAAAAAUAUUACGCUGUUAUCCCUUAAGUAACUUAAUCUUUUAAUCAUUAUAAAAUGGAUCAAUUCAUAUAUUAAUGAAAUAAAAGUUAAUUAAAUUUUCUUAUCACCCCAAUAAAAUAUCAUAUAAAGCUUUAAAGGGUCUUCUCGUCCUUUAAUAAUAUUUAAGCUUUUUAACUUAAAAAUUAAAUUCUAAAACAUUUAAAAUAAGACAGUUAAUAUUUCAUUCAAUCAUUCAUACCAGCUUCUAAUUAAGAAACUAUUUAUUAUGCUACCUUUGUACAGUCAAAAUACCGCAGCCUUUUUCAAUGGGCAGAU